rnacentral:rRNA from 1 species
UACGAAGGGGGCUAGCGUUGUUCGGAAUUACUGGGCGUAAAGCGCACGUAGGCGGACAUUUAAGUCAGGGGUGAAAUCCCGGGGCUCAACCCCGGAACUGCCUUUGAUACUGGGUGUCUCGAGUCCGGAAGAGGUGAGUGGAAUUCCGAGUGUAGAGGUGAAAUUCGUAGAUAUUCGGAGGAACACCAGUGGCGAAGGCGGCUCACUGGUCCGGUACUGACGCUGAGGCGCGAAAGCGUGGGGAGCGAACCGG